rnacentral:lncRNA from 1 species
CAUCUAGAUCACAUGUUACUUAUGAGGUCUGUGAGUAUUUUCUGUUCCAAAUUGCAUUUUAUUCAAUAAAUGGAGUACUGUGCUAAGGAUCCACCUUGUGGAAAUGAUUUGAAGCUUACUGAUUACAAAGUGCAGUUCUUUUUUGGAAUUGUAGUGAAGAUGGAAUUUGGACCCGUGGACCCGUGGAACCAGCACCUGAAGCCAGCAAUAAAUCUAUCAGUCACAGUAAGUAACCACUGUGUACUUAAUUAUUUUUACUUUUUUUUACUGGAGUUGUGUAAUAACGGCUAUGUGCAAAGGAGAUUUUCUACUUUUCUGUGAGUUUUCUGUUGGGUGUUAUAUGCUAUAGGAAAUUUGCUAAUAUACUGGCAGAAUGCCUGGGUAAUGUACCUUUACCAGUACAGAUGCCAAGCCAGAAGCCAUUUGCGACUGUUUGUUCUAUUUCUGACUCCUGUUUGACUGAAUGCCACAUGAACUUGCUACAUGACCCCAGCUCUGAGUGAAUCCGGGCUGCCUUGAAGUGCAAAUGUACUUUAACCUUGAUUCACACGAUCUGCACCCAAGCUUCAUGCUUUAGUUAUAUAUUUAUCUCACUACUGCCUGAUAAGCAAGGAGCACCAGCACCCUUUGAGAUUCUGGAUCAGCAUAGAUUAUCCAUAAAUAAUCUUUUUUUCAGUUUAAAUGUAUUUAUUUUCAUCAACAUUUGUAGAUAUGGAAGAAUUUGGGGCAAUCGUCUAAUUUGUUUACGAUUCAAAUUCCAUGCUGUUUUAUGACAGUACCACAAAGCAAACAAAAGAGCCAAUGGGUGUGCCAUUUUGUUUGUUUGGUGAUAUAGAGUUAACUAUUUUCCGUCUGGUUGAAAUAGUUAGAAAACAGCCCAUGAGUAGUACAAAGGAAAUUUUAUAUCUCCACCAUGCCAUGGGCAUCAGGUGGGAGCUUCAAUGUAAAGAACACAAUUGGGCUAUCAAAAAAAAUUAAAGCAUGGAAUCCACCCCAGUGCCCACACAGUAGGGCUCUAACUAAAUGAAAAAUGUGAGGGGGACACAGUGUCAACAAGUGGGAGCUAUAAUUAGAAUGAGUGAGGUGGACCACACAGUGCUGAUGCAUGGGAAGGAGGACCUAAUGUCCCCCAGACUCCACCCAUGGAAUGUGGCUGAUGGUCUGAGCUUAUCAGGCAGGUGUGCGGUGAAUAUACUCCACCCAUGGGUGGCUGGUCUAAUGAAACAUGCUGGGCAUGUUCGUGCCAUUGUCCACCCUAAAAAAAUGUUGUCCAAAUGUUGUGGCUAGUGGUCCCCAGACCCAUAUUAACACUCCAGUUUUUUAUUUAUUUUUUAAACUGUCUACCUCCUCACCAUAAUAAAAUUGAGGGGGGAGGGGCAAUAUUCUUAUACAUGUAAAAUAAAAAAAUAUAUAUACUUAUCAUUAAAUAUCUUCUUUCUUCAGUCGAAAAACAGGCAAAAUAAAAACUCAUAAUGCCACUAUUAAAAGAAAAUGAAUCACAAAAAAUACAAAUGAAAAAACAUGCAACACCUAGAAAAAAAUAUUCAUUCAUGUUGGCCCAAUGAGGUCUCUGUCUAGGCUUUGUCACAGGUGGCGAUCCGGUGCCCGGGACCCAGACGCUGUCCGGGCGGCGGUGCGAGGACUGGGACCCAGUAUGCCUGAUAAUAAGUGGGAGUCUUCAGCGUGGAAGUGGAUUAUCAGGGCCUGGUGCAGGGUAACCACAUGUCCUCUGGUGUUGAGCACCAGCGUUUGCGCGGCCAAAUACUAGAACCCUGAUGCAGCUACAGCGGAUCCCAGGAACUAGGAGCUUGAUAUGCAGACCUCCCAGGAACUGGAUAGGGGGGCUCUGCAGCAGACAUGUAUCCAGUACAGAAAAAAGGCAAGGCUAGGAUAGUCACCAAACAUGACAACAAGACAGAACUAAUAGAACCCAGAUUCAGAGCAGGACAGAAAGCAGAACCCAGAACAUGUACACAAGACAUGAGGAAAACAAGAACAGGGCAGGACAGGACUGUACAUGAACUGGGAUUACAAAAUAAAACAAGACAAGAUAUAAUAGGCAAAACAAGAGGAGACAUAACUAAGCACUAUAUAUGACAAGUAUGGGCAUUUAGUUACAUUAUAUGAUCAUACAUUGCAUAAGCCUGCCACAACGCCAAUGUACCCCAUAUUCGGCAGGUCCUACACUGCCUAAUGUAAUAAUUAGAGCCCUUAACUGCUGACCACAGGUAGAGGACCUCAACAGGAGAUAUGCAAUAGUUCUGUUUCUCCUCUUGAUUUGCAAUGUUUGUCCUGGCUUUGUCUUGUCCGGUCUGAACUAGAUAAUCAUUACAUUUGCUAAAUCUUUAAUAUAAACUUAAAAUAAAAUGGAACAUCUCGUGAAAAACAAGUAACAAGUAAUUGUCAGGGUUUUAUUCAGUGGUGUAAAUUCCAGAGCAAUGACAUUUCCACGCUAAGGGAAAUCAGUUGAUUAUUCAAGGAGAAAUUGUCUAGAGUAAAUCAUUGAUUUUGCGAUUGCAAGAAUUCUGCAUUCUAUAAUACAGGCGUCACAUUUACAUUUCUGUCCAUCAGUAUAAAGAAAUUGUCAACGUUACAGAAAAUGAUGUGAAUCUGGCAAUCCUAAACUAUACAUACUCUAAUGCAAAAUAAUUUACGUUACUGGCACCCAAUUUACCAAGAUUGGGGCACACACUCCAAAAAUACCCCUAGCAAUAUAUACAAAGAAAAAAAUCUAAGAUAAUAUCGCACUCUCACUUGAAUGUUUUGAAUGAUGCUUAUACAGGGCCUUUGAUGGAGGAGAUGUUCCUGAGCACGCAAGCCGGGUGGAUGCUGUCCCAUUGCACCCCCACAUCAAGAUGAUAUCCCAGACCCACAUCAGGAUAGAGAGCCACAGAAGGAAGCCAUAAGAAUAACAACCUGAAUAUUCCACAGGAUAACCACUAUUAUCACCAAACUGGAACAGUGGACAUUGAGAUUUACUUCAUUGGUGAAUUUUUUCAGUUUUUUUAUUUAUGUAUUCUUUAUAUG